GUGCUCACUUCGGCAGCACACAUACCACAGUAGGAACAAUAUAGAGAAGAGCAGUGUGGCCCCUGCACAGAGCACAUGCACAUUCGUGAAGGAAUCUGUGUAUGU
ensembl:snRNA U6 U6 spliceosomal RNA